AUCGGCUCGAGGCAGUUCUUCG
rnacentral:miRNA from 1 species